rnacentral:lncRNA from 1 species
AACUCGCGGGGAUUGUUUUCCACACCGUGGAAGCUUUGUUCUUUUCGUUUUUUGCAAUAAAUCUUGUUGCUGCUCGCUUUUUGGGUCCACAUUGCUUUUAUGAGCUGUACCACUCACCGUGAAGAUCUGCAGCUUCACUUCAGAGCCUAGCGAGACCACAAGCUCACUGAGAGGAACAAACAACUCCAGACGCGCUGUCUUAAGAGCUAUAACACUCACCGCGAAGGUGUGCAGUUUCACUCCUGAGCUAGUGAGACUACGAAGCCACUGGAACGAAGAAACUCCAACCACGUUUGAACAUCAGAAGGGGCAGACUCCAGACGCUUCAUCUUAAGAGCUGUAACACUCACUGUGAAGGUCUGCAGCUUCACUCCUGAGCCAGCGAGACCACGAACCGAUCUGAACAUCAGAAGGGACAGACUCCAGAUGCCCCACCUUAAGAGCUGUAAUACUCACUGCAAGGGUCUGCAGCUUCAUUCUUGAAGUCAGACCAAGAACCCAGCAAUUCCCAACACACAGGGACCAGCUUCUUUCCUAACUCACUUAGGCUCUUCGUGCUGCUCUGGCAACUAACACCCUUGGCUGCAGGGGCUUGGACACUACCCUUAGUCACUGACAAUUGUGUGAAGGCUGCUGUCGUUAACUUCACUUGAUCACCUUAGGCUCCUGUGAAGUGGUGAGCAAUUCAAACAAAUUCCUGUCGUCAAAUCAUAAUCCUGAUUUUGUUUGGAAGGACAGCGUGCCUGGUUCCAGGACUUGAAUCAUUCGUUUGUCCAGCAUCUCCAUGCUGUGUACGCUACCCGCCUGUUAGUCAUUGACACUGUCUGCUCCUGACAUCCACCCAUCAAUAUUGUCAUUGCUCAAUGAUCCAGGAUCACCGAGAGCAGAUGAGCCUCCUGAUGCAUGGUCAGAAGGAUAUACAUCUUUCCACACCAAUAGACCUUGUUUUCCGAUGUAGCAUUAUUUUUCAUAGUUGGCGAAUAUACAGUUAUGGAUUCAUAACAGCAAGAUGGAGAAAUUGCACUGCAGAGAAAUCUUUAAAAGCAAUUACCUAAUACUGCAGAUUGCUGAACUGUACCCACACCCAAGACUGAGCAUUGGAUCAAUCCAGAAUAUACAUCAGGUGUUCUGCAAUGUCUGCCUAAAACCAUGACUCUGCCUCCUCCAGCUGUUGCUACAUCUCACUAUGGGUUUCCUGUGACAUUUUGAGCAAGUAUGCCUCUGUGACUGGGGUUCUUACACUCCAGAAUGGAUGAGAAGCACCCCUCCUGUGGAGCCGGCCGUGGAAACGCCCUGACAUGGAGUCAGAAGCCCGAGCCCGUGUUUCAGACUUGGCGUUCAUUGACCAGAAGAGCUGCUUCACCACUUAACCAUGCAGCUUCAAGGGCUCCAUCUGCAAAACGCAGGCUUGAACCACAGGACUGGUUAUGCUCCUUCUUGUUCUGUGUCCUCUAAAUCCACCCCGUGGGAUGGUUCUCAUCCUCAUUUCUAGGAAAACAAGGCCCAGGUGGAAUCUCUUUUCUCAUCUGCAGGACUGAUGCCUUUCUUGGCCUAAAUUUCAACAACAUGUGACUAUAAAACUUACCUGUGUGUGAACCCUACAGAUAUUUGCGGGGGUGUUGUGUGGGGAGAUGACCCCAUGGUGGGCCCCUAGCGCCGGCCUCUUGCUAUCAUGCUGAGCACGCCCACCUUGCCGCAGCCUAGGAUCUCCCUUUCCCACCGGCACUCUCUUGCCUGGAGUGUGGAUCCACUGUGGCUUUCCCUCGCCCCAUCCUCCAGCUUGGUGGGUAGUAAUAUCUUCUGUCCCUCUUUAGACUCGGGGGCCUAACUGGAAAACAGGUGCAUUGGUAGAUUUAGUAGCAGAGGAGUCCAAGAGUUCUAGUGCUCUACAUGGGCAUGAGACCAAAGCCCAUAAAUACAUGUUCGCGGGGUGCCUACUGUAUACCCAAUGCUGUAAGGUAGUGUCCCCAAAGCAUACUGCUGCAGAACACUAGUUUUGUGGGGUGUUCAACGAUAUUACCUGGAGAAAAGAGUCCAGAAUCUAACAAGUUUGGGAAACUCUGGAUUAAAUAAGGUUAACUAUGUUUCUUUUAGGUAGUCCUUCUCAGAGACUUAAGAUGAGAGCAUGCAUUGGGAACUUCCAAAAUGGGAGAUGCAGUGGGAGGCACUCCCAUAGUUAGGUAACCAGGCAGCCCCUUUUUACUUAUUUUAUUUUAUUUUUUUGAGAUGGAG